UUAAGUUCAGCGGGUAGUCCUACCUGAUUUGAGAUCAGACGUUCAAAAGCUGUCCUCCCCAAGGAGAGACAUCUGUGAGCUCCAGCGAACCUCCAUUGCUGAAGGUUAAUGGCAGGAAACCACAAGCGUAGAUAGUUAUCACACCUGUGACGCCACCAAACACUGGGAAGCUGAUCCAUUUGAGAGGAGCCAACGCUAGG
rnacentral:misc_RNA from 1 species